UACGUAGGUGGCAAGCGUUGUCCGGAAUUACUGGGCGUAAAGGGCGCGUAGGUGGCCUGCCAAGUCAGAUGUGAAAUCCCCGGGCUUAACCCGGGAACUGCAUUUGAAACUGGCGGGCUUGAGGGCAGGAGAGGAAAGCGGAACUCCCAGUGUAGCGGUGAAAUGCGUAGAUAUUGGGAGGAACACCAGUGGCGAAGGCGGCUUUCUGGACUGUACCUGACACUGAGGCGCGAAAGCUAGGGGAGCGAACGGG
rnacentral:rRNA from 1 species